AUUGAACGCUGGCGGCAGGCUUAACACAUGCAAGUCGAGCGGAGAUGAGGUGCUUGCACCUUAUCUUAGCGGCGGACGGGUGAGUAAUGCUUAGGAAUCUGCCAUUUAGUGGGGGACGACAUUCCGAAAGGAAUGCUAAUACCGCAUACGUCCUACGGGAGAAAGCAGGGGAUCUUCGGACCUUGCGCUAAAUGAUGAGCCUAAGUCGGAUUAGCUAGUUGGUGGGGUAAAGGCCUACCAAGGCGACGAUCUGUAGCGGGUCUGAGAGGAUGAUCCGCCACACUGGGGCUGAGACACGGCCCAGACUCCUACGGGAGGCAGCAGUGGGGAAUAUUGGACAAUGGGCGGAAGCCUGAUCCAGCCAUGCCGCGUGUGUGAAGAAGGCCUUUUGGUUGUAAAGCACUUUAAGCGAGGAGGAGGCUACUAGUACUAAUACUACUGGAUAGUGGACGUUACUCACAGAAUAAGCACCGGCUAACUCUGUGCCAGCCGCCGCAGUAACAC
rnacentral:rRNA from 1 species